rnacentral:lncRNA from 1 species
GUUGCGAAGGGCGGCGGCGGCUGGCACCUACCCUUCCUCGUCUCCUACUUGGGGUUCGCGCCCCUUUGUGGGGCGGGGGUCCCCGAGGCCUGGCCGGGAGUAGGGGCGGCAGGGGCGGGGACGCUGACGUCGCGGCCGCCCCGGGCAUCGCUCCCCGCUCCCCGCUCCCCGCUGAGGGCGGAGUCGCCGCCCGGCCCCCGCUCCAGGCCGGGCUCAGCGAAGUUGUUUUCGCGGCUGCGGGCUUCGUGCGGCUCCCUGCUCCGGGCCCGCGGGGCCGGGACUGGACCGGGCUCUUCUCUAGGCAUCUGCGGGAUUCACUCGAGGUGGCCGGGUUCGUGCAUUAAAAACACCGGGCCAGCGUUGUCAGUGUUCUAAAGAGGUGUGCGUUCAGUUUGCUUUCUGUUGCCGCCUAAGCCUAACCUUGGGACCGGCCGUUUUCCCACUCUCCUGAAUAUCCUCCGGCCCGCAGGGCGAGGCGGAGACGCGGUGUUUGGCGCUGGCAUCGACUGGUACUUGUUUAGUGGUGUUUAACUGGGAUGGGCAGUGUGUAAACGCUGGACCGCAGAGUAUCCGACAGCUGUACGUGUGGAAGGCUGGCCGGACACGGUGGGGACUGCCCCUAUGCGGUGACCAAAAGGCGGUCUGACGGGAACAUUUUUAAUAUUCGAAAGUGGGGGAAAAAGCUCAAACAUCUUUCCAUUUCAAUAAAUACAUCAUUAUUCUUCAAGGCUACAUAGUAAGACUGAAAUAUGAUGUUUAAAAAUCCCUGUUAUUGGGAAUACAGAAAAACCGUACUCAAUCCUCAACUAUGGAAACAUUAUUGAUUUAAUCACUGGACUUACGCAAGAUGGGUAAGCUGACCCAGGGGACGGGAGUUCUUUUCCCUACAAACAUUCCACUUCCUGGCUACUCAGCCUUUCUUGUCACAAAGCCUGUGCAAGGAAGCUAUUGGCCCUGCUCCUGGGCCCAGGAAUGCUGCCGCUGCCUUGAAUAGCUGUGUGAACAGUCCUUCUAUGGGCAACAGGCGGCCCGCCUGGGUACCUGAAUGUUUUCUGAUUUGGGCCUGUGCUGCCCAUGCUCACCCUGAAAUUCAGACCAGAUGCAUUCUUAUGGCAAAAUGACGUGAAACUCUUAAGUAGAAGAGAAAGCCUGCGGUUCUCAUUUCAGAGGUGGAAUAAAAACAAAAUGUCUUCUGGAAACGCUACGCGGCCCUAGACCUCGCUGGAACCAGGAAAUGAUAGCCAGCUCCCAUGCGCGUGGCCUGCUCUGGGACCCACGUGGGCGGGCGCCUUCCUCAGGAAUGCGUUCUCAAAGGCCCACCGGUGUAGGGGGGCUGGAAAACAGCACAAACCCAAGUGUUCUCUGCAAAGCAGCAGUCCUGGUGGUGAAAUAGGGGUCUUUUCUAAAACUGAGCAAAGCCUACCUUCCACUGAGGAAAAAAUGGCCUCCAAGGGAGGGCUCUUUUUCCCCUACAAGUGACAUUCAAAGUGGUGCUGUGUCUAUCGGAACUAAAAUAAGGGCGAUUCCUUCUUUCACCAUUCCCCACCGCAGUACAAGUGACGGCGGGACUGUGCUUAGUGGCGUCAUCUAGUUUCAAGGCGGUCUCCUAUCUGACUUUGAGCCCUCGCUCUUUAUACCCAGUUACCCUCUCGUGGAGUCCGAGCAGCUGCUUCAGGGAGGCCCGGGAGCCCCUAGGGCGGGCAGCCCCGGAGCCUGCAGCUGCGACGCAGACUCGGAAACUACAACUGCGCGUGAAGCCGACUAAAGUUAACGCCUGUGUGAUUGAGUCAGAAGCUCCUUCAGGAACACAGGAGUGGGGCCGACUCCUGGAAUCCGGCCCCGGGUCGCUUAUAAAUGCGCCAAGAAAAAAACGUCACCGAAAAA